rnacentral:rRNA from 1 species
UACGUAGGUGGCAAGCGUUGUCCGGAUUUACUGGGCGUAAAGCGCGCGCAGGCGGAUUGGUCAGUCUGGGGUGAAAGCUCACGGCUCAACCGUGAGUGGUCCCUGGAUACUGCCAGUCUUGAGAUGUCUAGAGGAGAGCGGAAUUCCCGGUGUAGUGGUGGAAUGCGUAGAUAUCGGGAAGAACACCAGUGGCGAAAGCGGCUCUCUGGGGACCAUCUGACGCUGAGGCGCGAAAGCGUGGGGAGCGGACCGG